rnacentral:rRNA from 1 species
UACGUAGGCAGCGAGCGUUGUUCGGAAUUACUGGGCGUAAAGCGAGUGUAGGCGGUGCGAUAAGUUUGGUGUGAAAUCUCCCGGCUCAACUGGGAGGGUGCGCCGAAGACUGUCGUGCUUGAGUGUGGGAGAGGUAGGCGGAAUUCCUGGUGUAGCGGUGAAAUGCGUAGAUAUCAGGAGGAACACCUGCGGUGUAGACGGCUUACUGGACCACGACUGACGCUGAGACUCGAAAGUGUGGGGAUCAAACAGG